UGCAACCCGACUACACGAAGCUGGAAUCGCUAGUAAUCGCGAAUCAGAAUGUCGCGGUGAAUACGUUCCCGGGUCUUGUACACACCGCCCGUCACACCAUGGGAGUCGGGAAUGCCCGAAGUCAGUGACCCAACCUUUGGAGGGAGCUGCCGAAGGCAGGUCUGAUAACUGGGGUGAAGUCGUAACAAGGUAAC
rnacentral:rRNA from 1 species